GUUGCCUCCUCUGAUUGAAUGCACCGUCUUCUCCUGCGUGUCGCCAGCUCCACUGGUUCCUCUGGUUACGCUGGUUCCUCCUUGUUACGCUGGGAUAGCAAGAUGUCAGGCUUUAAGGUUGGCCGUGACUGGAUUGAAGGAAACCUGUCGAAAAAUCUGUGGUAAACACGGUUGGUCGAAGACAUGAUCCCAAACAAAAUUGCUUGUUUUCAACUACAAACGCAUCUCAUCGACGCUUGGACGAAACAGUAAUUAUAUCCGAAAUUGCACGUUUUCAACAACAAACAGGACUGAAGGGUAAAAACAAAAGAGAAACAGGAACACAUAUUCAACAACUUAUUAAUGUCAGCAUUAAUCAACUAAUUGAUUGGGCAUCGAUGUGAGCAGAACUUGAAAAUACCGACUUGCUUAUCGCCGACCAUUCAUAUCCAUACGCCCCGCAAUCUUUGUUGAGGCACUGCACCCCUGCAUGAGUACGAAUGCGUUGAAACACAGUGCUCAGGAGGUCCAAGGCGUAAGUCUUCAGCGUGGAUGACUUGGGAGUUGCGCAUGUGUCCCAGUUGACGCAGCGCGAACAUCAGUUCCGUGUGUGAGGUUCAAUAUUUCAUCAGCUUCGAGAGUUGCGUAGGCAUCGCGUGCUGCAAAACUGCCCCGGUACCAUGGGUUCCAAUCCACUUCCACCUCUUAUCCCUCUACACCCCGGUCUGACGUUCCUGCCCUUCGAGAUCGAUUAUCUCUUCUAUGCAGGCCCUCCUGCCGCGCCUCCAAAUGACCCUCAAGUUCCUGCUCAUGAAGUGGAGCCCGACCAGGCUGAUGUUGCAAUCGACAUGCCCGUGUAAACCCCACCAUCUCAUGAAACAACAAAGACCAUGGACUUGGUUCUCUUGCGUUUGCUGGUACACAUGAAUUCAGCAAAGGGUAACACUAGUUGACACUGUCGGAGGUUGUUGUUUGAUUUACAGAGCGAAGCACUCCGAUUCAUUCUGAUGCGAAUGUUGGCAACGGUAGAAAUAUGAGUCACCACCGUAAGUGGUGACGACUGUUCAGAUGACAGUAGAGCUUGAAGUUGCAGAACCAAGUCACGCACAGCUGUUGAUGGACUCCACGUCUAUGAGGGUAGAGUCAAGACUGCUGGCGAGAGGGUAUUGCAACAGCGACGAAUGUGGUGCAAUUUCCAACAGCCGAGAAGUGGUGAAGUCCAGUGGGUAAUAGUGUACAUGGUAGCUCUAGUAAAAUAAUGCGGGAUUGCAUUACUUUGAUGCGCUGCAUGUUGUCCAAUAAGCCUCUUUAUCACAAAAUUUGUCUUGUAGAAGCUUACCUCUUCUUCCCCUUGUCGGUUGGUACACUUCAAGAGAUGAAAAGACUUGUGAACUUUUCCUGUUCUUGCUAUCUUCCGAAAAAAGAAUCGUCAAUUCACUUUU